rnacentral:tRNA from 1 species
GCAGCCGUGGCCUACAGGUUAGGGCUUCGGACUUCGGACCGGAGGGUAGCCGGUUCGAACCCCGACCAGUAGGA